rnacentral:rRNA from 2 species
UGGGGAAUAUUGCACAAUGGGCGCAAGCCUGAUGCAGCCAUGCCGCGUGUAUGAAGAAGGCCUUCGGGUUGUAAAGUACUUUCAGCGGGGAGGAAGGGAGUAAAGUUAAUACCUUUGCUCAUUGACGUUACCCGCAGAAGAAGCACCGGCUAACUCCGUGCCAGCAGCCGCGGUAAUACGGAGGGUGCAAGCGUUAAUCGGAAUUACUGGGCGUAAAGUGCACGCAGGCGGUUUGUUAAGUCAGAUGUGAAAUCCCCGGGCUCAACCUGGGAACUGCAUCUGAUACUGGCAAGCUUGAGUCUCGUAGAGGGGGGUAGAAUUCCAGGUGUAGCGGUGAAAUGCGUAGAGAUCUGGAGGAAUACCGGUGGCGAAGGCGGCCCCCUGGACGAAGACUGACGCUCAGGUGCGAAAGCGUGGGGAGCAAACAGG